rnacentral:rRNA from 1 species
GGUUAAGUCCCGCAACGAGCGCAACCCUUGUCCCUAGUUGCUACGCAAGAGCACUCCAGGGAGACUGCCGGUGACAAACCGGAGGAAGGUGGGGAUGACGUCAAGUCCUCAUGGCCCUUAUGGGUAGGGCUUCACACGUCAUACAAUGGUCGGAACAGAGGGUCGCCAAGCCGCGAGGUGGAGCCAAUCCCAGAAAACCGAUCGUAGUCCGGAUCGCACUCUGCAACUCGAGUGCGUGAAGCUGGAAUCGCUAGUAAUCGCGGAUCAGCAUGCCGCGGUGAAUACGUUCCCGGGUCUUGUACACACCGCCCGUCACACCAUGGGAGUGGGUUUUACCAGAAGUGGCUAGUCUAACCGCAAGGAGGACGGUCACCACGGUAGGAUUCAUGACUGGGGUGAAGUCGUAACAAGGUAGCCGUAUCGGAAGGUGCGGCUGGAUCACCUCCUUUCC